rnacentral:tRNA from 1 species
CAAAUUAGAGCUUGUGUAUAAAGCAUUUUAGUUACAUUAAAAAGUAAAUUGUGAGAUUCAAUUUAAUUUGA